AGUUCGUGCUGUGGGCAACAUCGGAGCUAGUCUUUACACCUCUCCCAAGCAUCAUACAUGCUUUCGUCAUCGAAUCGCGCAAAAGAAGAUAUAUCAUUUCUCAAUCU
rfam:Ricinus communis cultivar Hale ctg_1100012359559, whole genome shotgun sequence.